rnacentral:rRNA from 1 species
UCCGUAGGCGGGCGAUUAAGUCAGUGGUGAAAGUCUGCAGCUCAACUGUAGAAUUGCCUUUGAUACUGGUCGUCUUGAGUUAUAGUGAAGUUGCCGGAAUAUGUAGUGUAGCGGUGAAAUGCAUAGAUAUUACAUAGAACACCGAUUGUGAAGGCAGGUGACUAACUAUAUACUGACGCUGAUGGACGAAAGCGUGGGGAGCGAACAGGAUUAGAUACCCUGGUAGUCC